rnacentral:tRNA from 1 species
GCGGGUGUGGGUCAGUGGUAGAACGCCGCCUUGCCAAGGCGGAGAUCACGGGUUCGAGUCCCGUCGCCCGCC